UACGUAGGGUGCAAGCGUUUAAUCGGAAUUAUUGGGCGUAAAGGGCUCGUAGGCGGUCUGUCGCGUCGGUAGUGAAAACUCAGGGCUUAACCCUGAGCCUGCUUCCGAUACGGGCAGACUAGAGGUAUGCAGGGGAGAAUGGAAUUCCUGGUGUAGCGGUGAAAUGCGCAGAUAUCAGGAGGAACACCGGUGGCGAAGGCGGAUCUCUGGGCCGAUACUGACGCUGAGGAGCGAAAGCGUGGGGAGCGAACAGG
rnacentral:rRNA from 1 species